UUCACAUGCCUGCACCUCU
rnacentral:miRNA from 1 species